rnacentral:ncRNA from 1 species
AACUCAAAGGAAUAGACGGGGACUCGCACAAGCGGUGGAUCAUGUGGCUUAAUUCGUCGAUAAGCGAAGAACCUUACCAGGGCUAGAAACCAAGCUGCAUCCCACCCGAAAGGGAGGGAGCCUUCGAGGGUGCUUGGCAGGUGAUGCAUGGUCGUCGUCAGUUCGUGGCUUGAGCUGUUCCCUUCAGUGGGGUAACGAACGCAACCCCCGUUGUCUGUUAUAUAUUUCAGGCGAGACUGCCCCCUCACGGGGGAGGAAGGUGGGGAUGACGCCAGAUCAGCAUGUCCCUUGAUGCCCUGGGCUGCACACGUGAUACAAUGGCCGGUACAGAAGGACGCAAUACGGUAACGUGGAGCAAAUCCCAAAAACCGGCCCCAGUACGGAUCGAGGUCUGCAAUCGACCUCGUGAAGCCGGAAUCGCUAGUAAUCGUGGGUCAGCAAUACCACGGUGAAUACGUUCUCGAGUCUUGUACUCACCGCCCGUCAACUCAAGGAAGCUGGGGGUACCCGAAAUCUUGCAGUUUGCAGGACUACGGUAAAUUCAGUGACAGGGAGUAAGUCGUAACAAGGCACGGCUAGCGGAAGCUGGUCGUGGAACAUAUCCAAU